rfam:Flavobacterium frigoris PS1 66_8, whole genome shotgun sequence.
UUUUAGCCCAGAUAGAAAUGAAAAGGCCACAAUUAAAAAAGGUAGUUUUUAUUAGCUUAAAAAAGCGACCAAAAGAAGCUCUUUUUGAGUUUUGUAAAAACACUUUUUUUAAGUGUGGACUUGUAGUGUAUAGCUGGAUUAGCU